UAAACAACCUCACUGAUCACUGACUUUAUGUUUAUUUGGGUUUAUUCUAAUGUUAUAUAGAGUUUAUUACAGGUAAACGCUCUCACUGAUCACUGACUUUAUGUUUAUUUGGGUUUAUUCUAAUGUUACAUAGAGUUUAUUACAGGUAAACGCUCUCACUGAUCACUGACUUUAUGUUUAUUUUGGUUUAUUCUUAUGUUAUAUAGAGUUUAUUACAGGUAAACGCGCUCACUGAUAAAUGAUUUUAUGUUUAUUUGGGUUUAUUCUAAUGUUAUAUAGAGUUUAUUACAGGUAGACACUCUCACUGAUCACUGACUUUAUGUUUAUUUAGGUUUAUUCUAAUGUUAUAUAGAGUUUAUUACAGGUAAACACUCUCACUGAUCACUGACUUUAUGUUUAUUUGGGUUUAUUCUAAUGUUAUAU